rnacentral:tRNA from 1 species
ACACACGUGGUGGAAUUGGUAGACACGCCAUCUUGAGGGGGUGGUUUCCUACGGAUGUAUGGGUUCGAGUCCCAUCGUGUGUA